AGCAGCCCAGAGCCUGAAUCAGUGUGUGUGUUAGUGGAAGCGUCUGGAAAGGCGUGCGAUACAGGGUGACAGCCCCGUACACAAAAAUGCACAUACUGUGAGCUCGAUGAGUAGGGCGGGACACGUGGUAUCCUGUCUGAAUAUGGGGGGACCAUCCUCCAAGGCUAAAUACUCCUGACUGACCGAUAGUGAACCAGUACCGUGAGGGAAAGGCGAAAAGAACCCCGGCGAGGGGAGUGAAAAAGAACCUGAAACCGUGUACGUACAAGCAGUGGGAGCCUCUUAAUGGGGUGACUGCGUACCUUUUGUAUAAUGGGUCAGCGACUUAUAUUCUGUAGCAAGGUUAACCGAAUAGGGGAGCCGAAGGGAAACCGAGUCUUAACUGGGCGUUAAGUUGCAGGGUAUAGACCCGAAACCCGGUGAUCUAGCCAUGGGCAGGUUGAAGGUUGGGUAACACUAACUGGAGGACCGAACCGACUAAUGUUGAAAAAUUAGCGGAUGACUUGUGGCUGGGGGUGAAAGGCCAAUCAAACCGGGAGAUAGCUGGUUCUCCCCGAAAGCUAUUUAGGUAGCGCCUCGUGAAUUCAUCUCCGGGGGUAGAGCACUGUUUCGGCAAGGGGGUCAUCCCGACUUACCAACCCGAUGCAAACUGCGAAUACCGGAGAAUGUUAUCACGGGAGACACACGGCGGGUGCUAACGUCCGUCGUGAAGAGGGAAACAACCCAGACCGCCAGCUAAGGUCCCAAAGUCAUGGUUAAGUGGGAAACGAUGUGGGAAGGCCCAGACAGCCAGGAUGUUGGCUUAGAAGCAGCCAUCAUUUAAAGAAAGCGUAAUAGCUCACUGGUCGAGUCGGCCUGCGCGGAAGAUGUAACGGGGCUAAACCAUGCACCGAAGCUGCGGCAGCGACACUAUGUGUUGUUGGGUAGGGGAGCGUUCUGUAAGCCUG
rnacentral:rRNA from 1 species